rnacentral:rRNA from 1 species
AGUGAACGCUGGCGGUAGGCCUAACACAUGCAAGUCGAACGGCAGCACAGUAAGAGCUUGCUCUUACGGGUGGCGAGUGGCGGACGGGUGAGGAAUACAUCGGAAUCUACUUUUUCGUGGGGGAUAACGUAGGGAAACUUACGCUAAUACCGCAUACGACCUACGGGUGAAAGCAGGGGAUCUUCGGACCUUGCGCGAUUGAAUGAGCCGAUGUCGGAUUAGCUAGUUGGCGGGGUAAAGGCCCACCAAGGCGACGAUCCGUAGCUGGUCUGAGAGGAUGAUCGGCCACACUGGAACUGAGACACGGUCCAGACUCCUACGGGAGGCAGCAGUGGGGAAUAUUGGACAAUGGGCGCAAGCCUGAUCCAGCCAUCCCGCGUGGGUGAAGAAGGCCUUCGGGUUGUAAAGCCCUUUUGUUGGGAAAGAAAAGCAGCAGGUUAAUACCCCGCUGUUCGGACGGUACCCAAAGAAUAAGCACCGGCUAACUUCGC